rnacentral:lncRNA from 1 species
CCCAGUGGCACCCGACUCGCUCUCCUCUCCCUCACCGACGCCCCUGAGUCGAAAUAAUCUGCUACCACCUAUUGGCACAGCUGAAGUGGAACAUGUGAGCACUGUGGGGCCACAAAGACAGAUGAAACCCCAUGGCGACUCUAGUCGAGCUCAAAGUGCGGUGGUGGAUGAACCUAACUAUCAGCAGCCACAAGAAAGGCUCCUUUUGCCCGACUUUUUCCCCAGGCCCAACACAACUCAAUCAUUUUUGCUGGAUACACAGUAUCGUCGCUCAUGUGCAGUUGAGUAUCCUCAUCAGGCCCGACCUGGCAGGGGAUCUGCAGGUCCUCAGUUACAUGGGUCUACAAAAUCUCAAAGCGGAGGCAGACCAGUCUCUCGAACCAGGCAGGGACCAUAAGGCAAAUGAGAAGAAUCUAUCAGGCUGCAGGAAACACGAGAUUUCAUGAAGCAGUAUUCAGUCAUCAAGUGAUGCAGAGCUUGUAUAGAAGAUCGACUAGAAAUCAUCUUCAUGAAGAGUGAUUUUGGCACAAGUGACCGAAGAACAAAACACCAUAGCAGCCAAAAAUGACAUGAGUGUUGUUUCUAUCUCCAGUUACUGUCUCUUUCAGCAGAAAUUAACCUAUCCCAUUGGAAAGGCAAGUUUGUACCCAAAGAUGCAACAGUGAAUAAUACCCAAAUCACUGCUCAUGUUAUCUCUUAACAAUGAUCAGUUCAAUCAUAUAGGAUUUGAUGAGCUCACACAUACACAAAAAGCAGCAAAUCAUCAGUGACAAUAUCACUGGCUUCAGAAUACUUCAGCCUGUGUUCAUUUCUGGAGAGUUGUACUCAGUUUUAAGUCAUUUUGCUGUUGAAAAUCUGACCUCAUCAAAUAGAUGUCAUUCCUAAAACUCUCUUUAGAUGUCCUACCCUAUCAGCAGAUUAAAAUGGAAGGGGUGUGUAACUAAAAACAUAAAUGUUAAGCAUUAGUAUAAAGUAACUUCUGUAAUAAAUUAUAUCGCAUAUUUUUUCAGAUAGGACAGCUCAACCUUACGAUGCCUACCUGAUGCCAGGUGAUGCUUAUUUUCUUCCUAAAGUAGGUUACUGGUCAUAUCUUUUUUCCAAAUAUUAAAUGCACCUUGCCAGAUAUUCUCCUGCAGCUCUAAGGAAAGGAAAUCAAUUUAAAAAUAAUUUGUAGAAUCUACUAUUGAGCCACCAAAGUAUAAUUCCCUAAAAGUUUAAGAAACCCUGGCAAUUAAUUCAGCAUAAACAUAUCCUAUAAACAGCAGGAGAGGUUCAGCUUUCUGAUUUUACUGUGGACCUUUUCCUAAGGGCAUUCAUGAAUGCAGCAACAGUUUUAACUAUGGCUUACAUUUAUUUUAAAUUUCACUAAAUACAAAUCUUGAUUGUCAUGCCAGUUUUAGAUCUUAUUAAUUUUCAGAAUGGAUAAAUUCAAAUAAUCAUAAAUUACGGUAACUUUUUAUUAUACCAAGGUGUUCUAAUGCCAUCAUAUGAAGACAGAUGCUUCAAACAACCUGCAUUAAAUUAUAUUUUUAAUAAAAUUAAAAUCUAUUUUUAACC